rnacentral:rRNA from 1 species
ACUCAAUAGAUACCCCGGUAGUCCACGCCCUAAACGAUGUCUACUAGUUGUCGGGUCUUAAUUGACUUGGUAAACGCAGCUAAACGCGUGAAGUAGACCGCCUGGGGAGUACGGUCGCAAGAUUAAAACUCAAAGGAAUUGACGGGGACCCGCACAAGCGGUGGAUGAUGUGGAUUAAUUCGAUGCAACGCGAAAAACCUUACCUACCCUUGACAUGGAUGGAAUCCCUGAGAGAUUGGGGAGUGCUCGAAAGAGAACCAUUACACAGGUGCUGCAUGGCUGUCGUCAGCUCGUGUCGUGAGAUGUUGGGUUAAGUCCCGCAACGAGCGCAACCCUUGUCAUUAGUUGCUACGAAAGGGCACUCUAAUGAGACUGCCGGUGACAAACCGGAGGAAGGUGGGGAUGACGUCAAGUCCUCAUGGCCCUUAUGGGUAGGGCUUCACACGUCAUACAAUGGUACAUACAGAGGGCCGCCAACCCGCGAGGGGAGCUAAUCCCAGAAAGUGUAUCGUAGU